rnacentral:pre_miRNA from 1 species
CUUUCCAGACUACUUAAUUAUAAGUCGUCUGGAAAGUCUACUAAGUCGUCCAGCUGGAAGACUUUUCAGACGACUUAAUUAUAAGUCGUCUGCGAAGU